rnacentral:rRNA from 1 species
GAUGAACGCUGGCGGCGUGCUUAACACAUGCAAGUCGAACGAUGAAGCCCAGCUUGCUGGGUGGAUUAGUGGCGAACGGGUGAGUAACACGUGAGCAACCUGCCCCUGACUCUGGGAUAAGCGCUGGAAACGGCGUCUAAUACUGGAUAUGUCCCGUCACCGCAUGGUGUGCGGGUGGAAAGAUUUUUCGGUUGGGGAUGGGCUCGCGGCCUAUCAGCUUGUUGGUGAGGUAAUGGCUCACCAAGGCGUCGACGGGUAGCCGGCCUGAGAGGGUGACCGGGGAGAGGCAGAGCACGAGACGGCACAGGCACGGAGGGGGGGCAGGGGUGGGGACAGUAGCAGGAGGGGCGGAGGGCGGAUGCCGGAACGCGGCGGGGGGGAAGCUGGGCUUCGGGUUGAAGUCCUCUGAGGGGAGAGAAGAGAAAAGAGGAACGAUACCAGCAAAAAAAGCACCGGCUAACGAGGAGCCAGCGACGGCGGAAAUACUGGGAAGAGACCCCGUCUGUAC